CGAACGGGUGAGUAAUGCGUGACCAACCUGCCCCGUGCUCCAGAAUAGCUCUUGGAAACGGGUGGUAAUGCUGGAUGCUCCAACUUGACGCAUGUCUUGUUGGGAAAGUGUUUAGUGGCAUGGGAUGGGGUCGCGUCCUAUCAGCUUGUAGGCGGGGUAAUGGCCCACCUAGGCUUCGACGGGUAGCCGGCCUGAGAGGGCGGACGGCCACAUUGGGACUGAGAUACGGCCCAGACUCCUACGGGAGGCAGCAGGA
rnacentral:rRNA from 1 species